UGAGGAAUAUUGCACAAUGGGCGAAAGCCUGAUGCAGCGACGCCGCGUGAAGGAUGAAGGUCUUCGGAUUGUAAACUUCUGUUAAAUGGGAAAAAAGAGUCUUCUUGAAUAGAGAAGAAAGAUGAUGGUACCAUUAGAGAAAGCACCGGCUAACUUCGUGCCAGCAGCCGCGGUAAUACGAGGGGUGCAAGCGUUAUUCGGAUUUAUUGGGCGUAAAGGGUUUGUAGGCGGUCUGUUAAGUCAUUUAUUAAAUGCCCUAGCUUAACUAGGGAGAUGUGAGUGAAACUGGGAGACUAGAGGAUGGAAGAGAGAAGUGGAAUUCUCGGAGUAGCGGUAAAAUGCGUAGAUCUCGAGAGGAACACCGAUGGCGAAGGCAGCUUCUUGG
rnacentral:rRNA from 1 species